rnacentral:misc_RNA from 1 species
UCAAACAUUCAAUACGAUAAGCUUACAGUAGUGAGUACAUAUAUAGGGGAAUUUAUUCUAACUGAUAUUAAACUGAAGAAAGUGAUCACUAAAGAGACUAAUGAUUAGGCAUUUUUAUACACGUAGACUUGCGCGUACUCAUGCUCAUAUAGCAUAUAUAGGAAGUGCUGUGGGUCAGACACAUGAAUGUAAUACAUGUGAUACUGUCGAGUUGACAGUUUAAUUAAUUAAAAAAAUAACGUUAACUUUCUUUAGUGCACAUGCUAGCGAUUGAUAGUUUAAAACAUUAUAAAGUAAUUUAUUUUUCUUUCAAAUCCUUGUUUUAUAAUGAUUUGAAAACAACUAAAUUUUUAUUGAUUCAACAUUUAGUCACGUUCGUAUUUUAAGGUUAAAAGUAUUAGUAAUAGUAACUAGUUGAUGGUGCAGAUUGGCUAAUGCAGUUUGACAAUGGUGCGAAGAAAAGUAGAUCGAAAGAAAAGCACUGCUUCUAGUAUGGGUAUUUCCAAUAAUGUAAAGAAUUUUGAUGGCAGUUUUAUUUACAUGGAUAGUAAAAAUACAAUGAAUGCUACUACAGUGAUACCAGUUUCACAACUUACACAUAAACAAUCUAAAGGCUUAUUAAAAGAACAUCUGCCCAUUUCAGGAAAGAGGACAAACAUGGUAUAUAAUAAUAUUGAACUAGGAGGUAUCAUGUUGGAAAAUACCACUGCCAAGCGACGUGUGAAGGUUUCAAUUCCUGUUAAUGGUGCACAACAAAAUAUUGAACAGAAAAAAUCACCUGCACCAUUUUCAGAAGAUCGAAACAAUUUAAAUAAUGAAUUUUAUAUAGAUACAGAAUGUUUAUCGUUAUGGCAGCAUCCAAUUACUACAUUAAAUUACUUUUUCCGAGAACUUUUUAGUAACAUAUUCAGCUUAGGAAAAAAGGCAUUACAUCACAAAAAAAUAGUAUGGAGUAUUGUAUCAAUAAUUAUAUUGUUUCUGGUAUUAAACAGAAUUUCUGGUCCACAUCAACAGAUUUUGAGAGCAUGGGAGACAAAAAUUAUUUGGUGGCUAUAUUGGAUAGGUUUAGGUGUUCUUUCAAGUGUAGGUCUUGGUACAGGUUUACACACUUUUGUACUUUAUCUAGGACCACAUAUAGCAGCUGUUACUAUGGCUGCAUAUGAAUGUGGUGCUCUUAAUUUUCCUGAACCACCGUAUCCUGAUCAAAUAAUAUGUCCAACAACAAUCGAUCCAAUGUGGACUGCAGGAAUAUUAAAUAUUAUGAGAAAAGUACGUAUUGAAGCUAUGCUUUGGGGUGCUGGUACUGCACUUGGUGAAUUACCACCAUAUUUUAUGGCCAGAGCUGCUCGAACUAGCAGACACGAUGGUAAAGAUGAAAAAUUUGAUCAAGAAGAUUUGAAAGAAUUAGAAGCCUUAGAAGCUUUAGAAAAUGGUGAAAAUGUAUCAUUACUAAUACGUAUAAAACUAACCAUGAAACAUUUUGUACAAAAAGCAGGUUUUUGGGGAAUACUCGCCUGUGCAUCAAUUCCUAACCCAUUGUUUGAUCUUGCUGGUUUAACAUGUGGCCAUUAUUUAAUUCCUUUUUGGACAUUUUUUGGUGCUACACUCAUAGGAAAGGCUAUUAUAAAAAUGCACAUUCAACAACUUGCAGUAAUCAUAGCUUUCAAUGAAGAACUUCUAGAUAAAUUUAUUAAAUUAUUAGCAAUUGUACCAUAUGUUGGUUCAAAGUUUCAAGAACCAUUGAAAAGAUAUCUUAUUGAACAGAAAAAGAAGUUACAUGAUAAAACAUCAAUGGAUGGAACAACAACAAUUUCGUGGUUAUUUGAUAAAUUUGUAAUGUUGAUGGUAUGUUACUUUUUGGUAACAAUUAUUCAUGCUUUAGCAAGAAAUUAUCAUCGUAAACGAACUAAACGUACCGAUUAAAGUUCAGUAAAUACAGGAUAUGUAAUGUAAAUGUAAAAUUCAUUAUUAAACAACGUACAGAUGAAAAUUACUACUACAGCGCAAUAUAAUUAAGAAUGCUUCAAAAACAUUGGAAUUAUCUCCAUAUUUAUAAAUAUGUAUGUAUAUAAAAAUGUACAUACAUAUGCUAGGAGAGAUUUACAUGCAUUGUGUAACAUAAUACGUGCAUUUUACUUUUUCGUAAUAUUAUUAAAAAUAUUGCAAUUUAUAACUUGAGAGUUGUUUGUAGAAUUUAUAUUAUUAUUAGUAUCAACAAUUUUUCUCAUAGUACGAUUUAAAAGAUAUAAAGCUUUUUAUAAAAACUCAUGCGAAUUCUUUUAGGUAUCCAUAAUAGUUAUUGAAUACAUACAUUCUUGUCAGCACUUUGUGUCAAUAAGAUGAAAAAAGUUUCUAUAACUUGGUAUAUACAAAAUAUAUAUUACUGUUAAGACUCGAUUAAAGCUCAUUGUCCUUUUUUCAUGUUGUUUACUUUCUUUUUAUAUCCACAGAUAUAAAAAGAUAUAAAAAGUUGAAUAUUUUGUAAUUAGAUUCUUCAGUAUGAAAUCAGGAAUGUACAUAAUCAAUCAUAUGGUAUUAUUAACUUUGAGACUUAUUUAGGGAGCAAAAUUAAAAUGUUCAUUUACAUGUAUGGAAAAAUAUUAUGUAACAACCAGAGGUGAAUCCAGAAGCUGUGGCGAAAUGUAUAAUUAUUUAUAUAUUAUAAUCAAUGACUCAAUUAUAGUAUGUGUGGUAAAAUAAUUUAUUUUAUUAAACAUAAAUCAAAUAUAAAAAUAUUAAAAUCUAACGAUAUUAAGAUACUGAUGAAGACAAUUCAAGUUUACAAUAUAAAUGAAGUUCUUAAAGUUUUGUAAUUUCUAGAUUCACCUCUGCUAAUAUCUGAAUCUAUGAUAAAGUUAUUUUUCAUGAUUUCAUAUAAAUUAAUAUGUUUUGUGAUAAAUACAUAGUAAUGUAAUAUAGAUGCAAUUGUCAGUUUUUCACUGUAUAUCUUUAUUAUUUGCAAACAUUAAAUAUUGUUCAUUACAAAGCAUUUAAUGAAUGGACAUAUUGUUAGUUGUAAUUCACAGAUUUCUGGAAAUAGAAAAUUAAAUAUAAAUUAAAAA